rnacentral:lncRNA from 1 species
UCCCCCUCCUCCCCGCCAGGCCCCGCGCCCUCCGCCCCUGCCCCCUCCUCAAGGGGCGCUGAGCCCCCCGCCCCUCCCCCUCCUCCCCGCCGGGCCCCCCGACCUCCGCCUCAAGGGGCGCUGUUCCCUCCACCCCUGCCCUCUCCUCCUCAAGAGGCGCUACGCCCCCCUUCCCCUCUUCCUCCUCCCCGCGGGCCCCCCGCCCUCCGCCCCAAGGGGUGCUGCCCCCUCCACCCCCGCCCACUCUGCCCAAGGGGCGCUGAGCCCUCCACCCCUGUCCCCUCCGCUGCAAGGGGCGCUGCGCCCUCUGCGUCCGGUGCCGAACCCCCGCCCCCUCCUCCCCAAGGGGCGCUGCGCCCUCCGCCCCCUCCCCCUCCUCCCCGUCGGGCCCCGCGCCCUCCGUCCCUACUCCCUCCGCCCCAAGGGGCGCUGUGCCCUCAACGUCGGGAGCCCGCGCCCCCACCCCCUCCUCCCCAAGGGGCCCCGCGCCCUCCGCCCCUGUUCCCUCCGCUGCAAGGGGCGCUGCGCCCUCUGCAUCCGGUGCCCGCGCCUCCGCCCCCUCCUCCCCAAGGGGCGCUGCGCCCUCUGCCCCCGCCCCCUCCUCCCCGCCCUGCCCCGCGGCCCCCACCCGCAACCCCUCCUCCCCGCGGGGCUCUGAGCCUUUGGCGUCGGGUGUCCUCACCCCUGCCCCCUCCUCCCCGCGGUGCCCGGCGCUCCCCGCCCGCGCCCCCGCCCCCUCCUCUCCGCCGGGCCCCGUGCCCUCCGCCCCUGCGCUCUCCUCCCUCGCCCCCUCCUCCUCCCCAAGGGCGCUGCGCCCUCCUCCCCCGCCCUCUCCUCCUCCCCAAGGGGCGCUGCGCCCUCCGCCCCCGCCCCCUCCUCCUCCCCAAGGGGCGCUGCGCCCUCCUCCCCCGCCCUCUCCUCCUCCCCAAGGGGCGCUGCGCCCUCCGCCCCCGCCCCUCCUCCUCCCCAAGGGGCGCUGCGCCCUCCUCCCCCGCCCUCUCCUCCUCCCCAAGGGGCGCUGCGCCCUCCUCCGCCCCCCGCUCCCCGCCGGGCCCCUCCGCCCCCUCCCUCGCGCCCUCCGCCCGCCGCCCGGGCCGCUGCUCCCCUCCGUGCCAGGUGUCCGUGCCAGCCGCGCCCGGCGGGGAGGCGCCCUCCUUGGCCCCUGCCUGCCCCUCCGCGGGCUUCAAAUCCGCCACCGCCUGCGUCUCGGGUGCCGCCAGGCCUGCCGCCCGCCCUCCGGCCUGGAGUCCUCCCCGGGGGCUCCCGCCGCGCUCCGGGCCCCCCGCGCCCAGCACGGUGGUCGCAGCGCGGCCCGCGUCCUGGCCCGGGGCCCCGGACAGAGCGCCUCCGCUCAGCCUGCCCCCCGCCGCCGUAGGGCCCCCCGCCGAGACGCCCUGUGGGGCCCCCGCGCUGAGCCCCGCUCCUUCGGGCCCCGGGGCCUGUCCCGCUCCCGCCCGAGCUCCCGGCACCGCCGCGCGCUCCGGGUCGGGGUCCUGCCCCGGGUCGGCCUCGGGCUCCCCGGGAAGCAGCUCCGCUCUGCCCCCGCGCCGCGCGCCCCCCGCUUCGCUGGGCGUCUCCCCUCCGUCCCGCGGCCGCGCCCCUGCAGGCGCCCCUGCGCUCGCGGCCCCCGGCUCCCCCCUCCCGGCGCCGCCUCCCGGGGGCCCCGCGGGGGCUCGGCCCUCGGCGUCCCGCUCCGUGUCCCUCGGGGAGCCUGGCGCCUCUUCCCCAGGCCUCGCUUCCUCCCCGGACCCCUGCUCCUCCCCGUCAAGCCCGCGCGCUCCCGGGAGGUCGGGGCCCGGGCGGGCAGCUGCCCUGGGGGCGCCUUGCGGGGCGGAGGUGCCGCUGGCCGGUCCCCCGCUCGCCCCCGGAGCCGCUGGCCGCCCAGCCCCCGCGCGCCCCGCCGCCCCCGGUUCCUCCGCGCCCGCGGUCCCAGCCCCCCGGGGCUCCCGCGCUGCAAGCCCGGCCUCAGCCUCCCCCUCCUGCGUCUGCAGCUCCGGGGGCCGCAAGGCCGGCUCUUGGGGAGCCUCCCCUCCCCCCGCACCUCCGCGGGGGGCUCCGGCAGCCCCUUCUCCCCCGGGGCCUAGCUCCACUGUAGCCGGCCUGGGAUCCUCUGCUGCUCCGGCCGCAGGUGCUGGGCCCCGAGGGCUGGCCCUUCCCUCCGCCCGCUGUCCCCCCGCAGCGGCCGGGGGCUUCUGCGCCCCCCGGGGGGCCUCCCCGACCCCUGCUCCCCCCCGCAGUGCUGCAUCCUCCUCCUCUUGCGUCGCGGUCCCAUCGGCAUCCCGGUGCGCAUCCCGGUGA